GUGAUUUAGUUAGAUAGGAGAUUUUUGAUCUGAGCUUAGUUCAUGUCUUUAGCUAUAGAAGGAUACCUCAAUGUUUUUUUAUGUCUUUCUUUUUUGCCUGUAGCACAAAGUGUAUACAGAUUACAGAGAGAAUAUAUGCCACUUUUAAGUAAUAUUUCACGACUUCAUCAAACUUCUUUUUGAGAAAGUAAAAUUUUCAAUGGAAUGUAAACUACAUUAAGAAUCAUCUAUUACCAGAGUGUGAUAUAUUUCUAUGUGUCACAAUCACUACACAGAAUUACACAUUCAGUAGACAGAACAAAUGGUUUCCAGUAAUGAAUGGCAAGGUUUGUGUGAAGUAGUGUUUAGACAACUAGAUGCAUAUACGGUGCAGAUCUGAUCUCAUGUAUGCUUGAUAGUGACAUAUGGACGAAGUUCGUGAAGAAAAAAUGUAUUUAUCCACUUGUCUCAACCCACUUAAAACACUAUCGAUCAAUCAACACAUGAGUCAUCAAGAUAAGAAAUACCAGAGGAUUCUUCAUUGCAAUGAUAAAUAAAUCAACUUUGCCAUAGGAAAGUGAUAUGGAACCAACCAACCCAUGAUAAGGAAAACCAACCGAUCUAAGUAUAUAGGUAAUUCCUAAAAGCUAGUUUGGGGAUGCAUAGUCAUUUAAGAUUAUCAACCUCCAGUCAAGUAAUAAACCCAUCCUAUGGGAUAUAGCCUUGACACCAGACAUAGCUAUGCCAUGAUAUACUAUCAAAGAUGUAGAAUUGAUUUGUAAGAACCGUCCUGGUCGAGAAAACCCAUUUCCACAAGAUCACACACCAAAAUCUUAAAGUGAGGAUAAAUCUACCAACAUCAAACCAAACAGUGGAAGGUUCAAGUUAAAAUGACGGUUGAUGCCUCAAAAUUUACUCAUCCUACAUCUUAUCAAAUAGGUAUAUCAGAUUGUAGUGCAUGUUGUGUCAAGAUUUAGUAUACUCCUAUAUACUUUUUCUCCGAAACAGGUGCACAUCGUGUGUAUGCACACUACCUUGUUCAAUAUAUUGUCAUGAUAGCUGAACCGAGAAAAGGCUAGGCCUAACGAUUCAGAUCUACUCACUGCUAUCUCGUAGUAUGCAAACAAAAACAAAACUACAAACUUAACUUACUUUAAUUCCAUCUCUAUGAUAAAUUAAAAAAACUUGUGCAUAUAUAAAAGAAAAGAUUGAGUGAUCAACAUGAAUAUACCACUUGAUAUCUUUGUCAUUUUCAUAUAUUAUCAAGAUAUCAAAAUCUUAUAAUUGAGCAUUCCAUAACCCAUUGUAAGCAAACCUACUAAACUGGUUUAGUUAAGGACCACAUCUUCUAACUACGAGAUUUUGGAGAUCCUGUAAUAUAAAAGGAAGCAACAAGUCAUAAACAAGGUUAUCAAAACAAAAGACAUGUCAUAAACAAUGAUGGUUCAAAUAAGGCUUAAGAUCCUAGGCAUUUCUGAUUGGAUGAGAUACAAAUAAAGUGUUCAAAAGUUCAAUUAAUAAGUAAUACCCGACUAACAAAAUGGGAAUUUAAUAGUGAUUGAGGCCGUGCACCAAAAAGAAGUGUUAUUGGUUAUAAUAGAACACUGUGGUUAACAGGUAACAUUUGUCCAUUAAGCAUCUGAGGGAUAUCAGAUCAUAUCCAAUGAUAUGCCAUUGAGAGUGUAAAAACUGCUAUAAAGUAUUUUGUUAGUACAACUUUAUCCGUGAUAAAUUGCAGAUUUAGCUUAAGUAAUGCCCUUACAAAAAUAGCUAGUAGUCUAAAAUUGUUCAACUCUCUCAACAAUUGAGACUUUCUACAAAAUUGCCAUCAAUAUAAUAAAGAUGUUCAAAUUUCUGCUACUAGUUAACUGCCAUUGCAAUUAUUGUAACGUUCUUUAGGUUGGUGAGAACUAUCUACUCUGCUAUUCACAGAGUUAUAAGUAAAACAAUGUAAAUACAGAAGCACUAGAGGACACUGGUAGCUUUGGGAGAUAAUGUUUCAAAAUACUAUCUUAGUGCUUUAAGAAAAUCCUGGCCACUUGUUGGACUAAAGACCUCAAUCAAUAUGAUAAGAUUCAUUUCUACACUUUUUUGUAUUAUAAUACAUAUACUAGCUAUAAUUCAAAACUAGGCUAAUUAUAAAUUAGAGAAAGUUUUGCGACAUACCGUUAUAAAGCAAAAGAACUGUGCACAAUAAGUCUAUUCCCUACAUUGUCAAAAGAGAAAGAAAAGAUAUUUAGUAGGAACAAUGAACAAAAUGAUAGUUACUUAAAAGUUCACCAAAAAAAUGGCAUUGAAGAGAACAUGAUUGAAAUAGGUUCCACCAAAGAAAGUCAAUAAUGGUACAUAGAUGAUUAAAAGACAGGACUAAAGCUCUGUGUUUCAGUAUUUUAACUUUCUAGCCAAAGUGUAAUGUUUCUGAAACUUUUCUCAAGUUUAAACCCAUUGGGUCCAAAGCAUUUCUACAUAAUGAAUGCAUCCAGCAAAACUCUUACAUGAGUAUUUUGGCAGACAUGUAACUACUUAGGGAGAUCAAAAUAGAUUUUGCAGAUAUUACCCUGACUCACAACAUAAAAUAAAAUCCAUCUUAUAAAGAAUCAACACAGGACAAACAUGAUUAAAGAAAGUUUUCUAAUAUAUAACACAAAAAGAACUAAUUCUAUAUUCAAUGUCCCGACACAAGCAUCUUGUGGUUAGAGGGGGUAUGGGGAAACGACACAAUCAGCACUCAAGAAUUCAUGGAAUUGGAUAAGCUCUUUCUGGGUCCCAUAUUCUCCCAACUCUCAUUUGAAAAAAAGAAGAAAACACACUUUCUUAAACAAUAAUUAUUACUAUCCAAUUAUAAAAUUCUCAGUCCCCAUUAAGUAAUCAGUAAGCAUCUCAUGCUAUAUAUAAGACCACUUUGAAUUCCCCAAAACUUAAAAAAGCAAUAAGCAAACAAAGCCAAGAAAAGCAGAGAGAACAGACUUUGAUUUAAAGCUUUUUCAAAGAGUAAAACAUGUCUGCAAACGAGUUACCUGCUUCAGCUCAAUCCUUGCAAGAACAAUUCCUUGGCAGUUUUGUCACUAGAAAGCUUCUUCUGCACGACCCAUUUGACCACAACUCUCUUCGAGUAUUUGCGGUUGCACCAUCUCCUCUCAUAACACAUGAGAACAACCUCAAAGGGAAUGUUCUGAUGCUUCUCUCAGUUCUCAUCUGUGGCAUCAUCUGUUGCCUUGGGUUACAUUACAUCAUUCGCUGUGCAUUCAGACGUUCUUCACGUUUCAUGAUCUCUGAGCCUAUAUCCAGUCUUUCAACACCACGAAGUUCAUCAAACAAAGGAAUCAAGAAGAAAGCUCUGAGGAUGUUCCCAGUCGUGAGUUACUCACGUGAGAUGAACUUGCCCGGGAUUGGUGAAGAGUGUGUCAUUUGUUUGUCGGAUUUUGUUUCUGGUGAACAGCUCAGGCUGCUCCCCAAGUGCAAUCAUGGGUUCCAUGUUCGUUGCAUAGACAAGUGGCUUCAACAUCAUUUGACAUGUCCGAAAUGCAGACACUGUCUGGUUGAGACAUGUCAAAAGAUAUUAGGUGACUUCAGUCAAGCUGAUUCAAUGGCAUCAACACCAACAGAGAGCGUAAUUGUCAGGAUUGAUCCUCUAGAACCUGAAGGAAGAGUAAACACUUUUAGAGAAAGCAGCUAGAUGCAAGAAAAGCAGAAACCAACAUCAAUCUAGAAUCUGUCAGCAGUUAGAUAGAAGAUUUUAGAUUCUAAGCCAUAGAAAGGUAGAUACUUCUAUUCUUUUAUGUCUUUCUUUUUGCCUGUAGCACAAAGUGUCGACAGAGCGAAUAUAAUCUCACUUUACAAGAGCAUCUCACGGGUUCAUCAAAGUUCUUUUAGCAAAGUUAUUUGUAAUGGUGGCAUGUCAACUAUGCAUUCAUAUCCAAAAACAUUAAGAAUUAUCUAUAACCAAGACUGAUAAGUGCUAAUCAUAUUCUUAUGUGUCACAAUCUCUACACAGAACCAAAAAGUCAUUAGACAGAACAAAUGGUGUCUAAUCAUAUUCUUCUGUGUCACAAUCUCUACACAGAACCAAAAAGUAAUGAUGCUAAGGUUUGUGUAAAGCAGCAGUGUCUAGUCUAUGAAGUGCAUGCAUUUACGAUGCAGACCUCAUCUUGUGUAUGCUUGAUAUUGAAAAAAUGUAUCUAUCUACUUGACACGACCCACUUCAUAAACUACCUAUAUACCGCAAAACCAAUAAACACACAUCGGGAUAGCAAAUAACACAUGUCAGAUGAUCCUUCCCCCCAAUGAUAAAGAAAUAAACUAUGCCAUAGGAAUAUGGACCCAACCAAUAAUAGAGAAAAACAACCAACAUAAGUUUCAAGUUAGACCUGAAGCUACUUUGGGGAAUGCAUAGCCUUGUAAGAAUCUAAACCGCCAGUCAGUGAUAAACGCAUCUUAUGAGAUCUAACUUUGACACCAGACAUAUCCAAGCCAAAAUACACUGUAAAAACAUAGAGUUGAUCUGUAGAUACCAUCCCCAAAAUUCAUACACCAAAAUCCAAGUGAUGGUAUGAAGCAAGAUAAGUGAGAAAUCAUUCACCAUUAUUAAACCAAAUACGGUUAAACUUCCAAGGAUUCUUAUCACAAGCAUCUCCUACUCUACUCUGAGGGUUGAUACCAGUUACCGUAUUGAUGCCUCAACUUACCCACCCUUUAUCUUAUCAAAUUGGUACUAAAGUUUGUAUCAAAUCGUGGUGUCUAGAUCUAAUAUACUUGCUCUAUUGUUCUUCUUUUCCCCACAACAGGCACACAUCUUGGGUAUUGUACACUAGCUACUGCAAGAUAUUUUCAUGAAAAUUGAACGAACAAAAGGCUUAGUGUAACGAUUCAGAUCUUGGAAGUCCUAUCUCCUAGUAUGAAAACAGAAGAAAACUACAAAGUUGGCCUAAUGAUAAAAAAAAAAAAAAAGUUAUGCUAAUAUAAAAGAAUGCAUGGAGUGUUCACUAGAUAUAGUGAUAUACCACUUGAUAUCUUAGUCGUUUUCAUAGAUUCUCCAAAUACCAAACUCAGAAUCUUGAUCACUGGGUGAUUCAAAACAGCCAAACAAGUUGCAAUCCACAACCUAUUGUAUAAAAAAUAACUAACUACGAGAUUUUGGAGAUCCUGCAAUUUAAAAUGAAGCAACAUGUCAUAAAAAUAUGAUGGUUCAAAUAGGGCUUAAGAUCCUAGGCAUUUCUUAUUGGAUGAGAUAUAACUAAAGUGUUGAAAAGUUCAAUUAAUAAGCACAGCCCCACUUAACAAUGAGAGUUCAAUAGAGUAAUUGAGCUUUUCCACAAAAAAGAAGGGUUAUUGGUUAACAACAGAAGACUGUGGUUUACAGGUAGCAUAUGUCCAUUACACGCAUCUUAGAUGGUAUCAAAUCAUAUCUGGUAAUAUGUUAUUGAGCUUGUGAAAACUGCAACGAAGUAUUUGUAAGUACAAAAACUGCAACAAAGUUUUCCUAAGCACAUCUUUUGCUGUGAUAAAUUGCAGGUUUAGCUUAAGUAAUGCCCUUACUUCAACAUGCAAUGGUCUAAAAUUGUUCAACUCUCUCAACAAUCUAUAAAUUUUACUUCAGUUAACUACUGGAACAACUGUAGGAUAUCAAUAGAUCAUAGCUGUAAUUUAUAACAAAGAUGUUCAAAUUUCUGCUACUAUCGCAAUUAUUAUAAUGUUCUUUUGGUGGGGGAGAACUAUCCUAUUAUAUUAAUACGCGUUAAAAGUAUGUAAAUACAGAAGCACUAGAGAACAAUGAUAGCUUUAGAAGAUAAUGUUUCAAAAUACUAUCUUAGUGCUUUAAGAAAAUCUUGGCCACUUAUUGGCCUAAAGACCUUGAUCAGUAAGAUAGAUUCAUGUCUAACCUUUUUGUAAUAUAACAUAUAUUGUAACUAUGCUAAUAGUAUUAUAAAGAAAGUUUCGUCGACAUACCGUUAUAAAGCAAAAGAGCUGCUACACAAUAGGCUCUGCCUAUUCAUCCUAGCACAUACCGAAGUUCUCUACAUUAUCAUGACAAGAAAAGAUAUUUAGUAGGAACGAUGAACAAAUAGAUAUUUAGUACGAACGUUGAAUAAAUAGAUAUUUACUCAACAGAUAUUUAGCAGGAACGAUGAACAACUAGAUAUUUACUUAACAGAUAUUUAGUAGGAAAAGUACUUAAAAGUACACCGAGAGACAAACACUGAGAAUAGGCGUUCAAGAGUAAAUGAUUAAAGAAUAGGUUCCACCAAAGAAAUUCAUAGAUUGAAAAUCAAUAAUGGUACAUGCAUAACUAAAAAAACAGGAUUAAAGCUCUGUGUUUCAGUAUUUCCAGUUUCUUGCAAAAGUGAGCUCUACUUAUAACGUUCCUGAAAUUUUUUUAAUGACACUUUAAAACCCAUUGGAUCCAAACUCUUACUUGAGUAUUCCAGAAAUAUUCCAAUUCUCAUGUUAUUUCACCUCAAGAGAACCAUAUACAUGCAGACAUUUAGAUACUUGGGAAUUAUCAGAAUAAAAUUUGCAAAUACUACCCAGACUUAAACAUAUAAUAACGUUAAUCAAAUAGAAUCUAGCUUAUCAAGACUCAACACAGGACAAAAAUGAUAAAACAAAGUUUUAUAAUUUAAAGUCGGGCAUAAAUAAAUGAUUUCCAAAUUUAAUGUUGGAAAAGUGAUAGUCCCUAUACACAAGCAUCUUAGGGUUGGAGGAGGUAUGGGCCAAUGGCACAAUCAGCACUCAAGUCUCAUUUGAAGAAAAAAAAAACUAAAAAGAAGAAACCCCACUUUCUUAGAAAAAUAGUAUUAGAUAAAAUACUCAGUCCCCACAGUAAUCAGUAAGCAUCUCGAGCUAUAUUUAAGACAACUUUGAAUUCCUCAGAACUUAAGAAGCAAUAACCAAAGAAAGCCAACAAAGCAUAGAGAAGCGACUUUGACCUUAAGCUUUCUCAAAGAGUAAAAAUGUCUGCAAAUGAGUUACCUUCUUCAGCUCAAGCCUUCCAAGAACAAUUCCUUGGCGGUUUUGUCUCUAGAAAGCUGCUUCUGCACAACCCAUUUGACCACAACACUCAACGAGCCUUUGCGGUUGCACCAUCUCCUCUCAUAACCCAUGAGAACAACCUCAGUGGGAAUGUUAUGAUGCUUCUCUCAAUCCUCAUUUGUGGCAUUAUCUGCUGCCUCGGGUUACAUUACAUCAUUCGUUGUGCACUCAGACGUUCUACACGUUUCAUGAUCUCCGAGCCUGUACCAAGUCUUUCGUCAACACGGGGUUCAUCAAACAAAGGAAUCAAGAAGAAAGCUCUUAGAAUGUUCCCAGUUGUGAGUUACUCACCUGAGAUGAACCUGCCAGGGCUUGACGAAGAGUGUGUCAUUUGUUUGUCUGAUUUUGUUUCCGGUGAACAGCUCAGGCUGCUCCCCAAGUGUAACCACGGGUUCCAUGUUCGUUGCAUAGACAAGUGGCUUCAACAACAUCUGACUUGUCCAAAAUGCAGAAACUGUCUGGUUGAGACGUGCCAAAAGAUAUUAGGUGACUUCAGUCAAGCUGAUUCAGUUACGGCAGAACCAACAGAGAUCGUAAUUGUCACGAUUGUUCCUCUAGAACCAACAGAGAUCGUAAUUGUCACGAUUGCUCCUCUAGAACCAACAGAGAUCGUUAUUGUCAUGAUUGCUCCGCUAGAACCUGAAGGAAGAGUAAACACUAUUAGAGAAAUCAGCUAGAUGCAAAGAAAGACAGAAACCAUCAGCAAUUCAGAAUUUGUACUUCUAAUUUUUUUAUGACUUUCUUUUUACCUGUAGCACAAAGUGUAUACAGAGUGAUUAUGUUUCAUUUUCAGUAGCAUCUCAUGAGUCCAUCAAACUUCCUUUGUAAAACUAUUUUUACGGUGGAAUGUGAAUUUUGCAAUCUUAUCCAAAAACAUCAAGAUUCA
rnacentral:lncRNA from 1 species